CGCUCAGCCUGUCCUUGGGGGCCCGAGAGCUCAGAGUUGACUGCCUGCCUGGGGAGCAGAGCUCAGCAGAGAUGGGGGCAAUGGGGAGGUCAAAGUGUAAAACACCCACUUCCCAGGCCCCUUUCCUCCCAGAGGGGACAUUGGCCCCCAAAAUCCCCAGAGGCUGUGCUCCAGGCAUCCACAGUGCUGACAACUCCCUCCCUCCCCUGCCAGGAACAACCUCCCAAAGGAAACCCUGCCCUCAAGUCCUGGCCUCAGGAACCCAAAUUGCCUAGCAGGGAGAUCAUCAAAUUGUCCUGUUAAGAUCCAUGCUCUUCACUGAAUGUACCUUACUCCAAAAAGAGAACUGAAAGCAAACAUUGACCUCCAGCUGAUGAUGUGCACGCCGAAGCGUUCCCUGAUAUCAGCAACUUCCAGUGCAACGCGUGGAGCAGCAUUGUUCACGCUGACGGGAGAACCUGGCCACCUGGCUCAGGACGCACACGCCAGCGGGUGGACAGACUGGAAUCCACGUCCAGUUCAGGGAGAGGAAGAGGAAAGGGAACCUUCACGCAUCAUUUGCAUUAAAAUGUCCCCAGCACACCUGGUGUGGUUUCAGAUGUGCUGGGCUCCUGGAGAGAGUUCUGUCACUCACUGGCAAAGAGAAGAGCUUUUCUGGAUCUCCAUGGGGAGGGCCCCUGCUCGCACGACCAUAGCAACGUCCCGAGUGUAUGCUGGCAAAAUGCCAACUCGACAUGGGCGGUCCCAGCUGACCCACUCUGAGACCAGUCCUGGAUAA
rnacentral:lncRNA from 1 species